AUUGAACGCUGGCGGCAGGCCUAACACAUGCAAGUCGAGCGGAGCGGCGGACGGGUGAGUAAUGCCUAGGAAUCUGCCUGGUAGUGGGGGAUAACGUCCGGAAACGGGCGCUAUUACCGCAUAAUAUCAGAUGAACCUGGGGCGGAUUAGCUAGUUGGGGGGGUAAAGGCCUACCAAGGCGAAGAUCAGUAACCGGACUGAGAGGAUGAUCAGUCACACUGGGACUGAGACACGGUCCAGACUCCUACGGGAGGCAGCAGUGGGGAAUAUUGGACAAUGGGCGCAAGCCUGAUCCAGCCAUGCCGCGUGUAUGAAGAAGGUCUUCGGGUUGUAAAGCACUUUCAGUUGGGAGGCGUUACCGACAGAAGAAGCACCGGCUAACUUCGUGCCAGCAGCCGCGGUAAUUC
rnacentral:rRNA from 1 species